CACUCAGCUUUCUGAAAUGGUGUCCCACCGCAAGGACUGGAGAAGGGCACCCUUGGAAAUGCAAUGCUACAUCUCAAUGGGAUUUUCCAGUACAAAGAUUCUUUUCAAAUAACAUAAUUGUGGAUACACACCACUCCUACAGUGACACAAAGCAAAUUCGAGCGAUUUUCUUAUUUGAGUUCAAAAUGGGCUGUAAAGCAGUGGAAACAACUCGCAACAUCAACAAUCCAUUUGGCCCAGGAACUGCUAAUGAAUGUACAGUGGAGUGGUGGUUCAAGAAGUCUGGCAAAGGAGAUGAGAGCCUUGAAGAUGAGGAGUGUAGUGGCUGACCAUUGGAAAUUGACAACAACCAAUUAAGAGUGGUCAUCAAAGCUGAUCCUCUUACAAUGACACAAGAAGUUGCCAAAGAACUCAAUGUUGACCAUUCUUUGGUCAUUCAGCAUUUGAAGCAAAUUGGGAAGGUGAAAAAGCUUGAUGAGUGGGUGCCUCAUGAGCUGAGCGAAAAUUUUUUUAAAAAUCAUUGUUUUGAAGUGUUGUCUUCUCUUAUUCUACGCAACAACAGUGAACCAUUUCUCUAUCAGAUUGUGAUGUGCAAGGAAAAGUGGAUUUUAUAUGACAAUUGGUGAUGCCCAGCUCAGUGGUUGGACAGAGAAGAAACUCCAAAGCACUUCCCAAAACCAAACUUGCACCAAAAAAAGGUCAUGGUCACCAUUUGGUGGUCUGCUGCCGGUGUGAUCCACUACAGCUUUCUGAACCCCAGCAAAUCAUUACGUCUGAAAAGUAUGCUCAGCAAAUUGAUGAGAUGUACUGAAAAC
rnacentral:lncRNA from 1 species